GAUGAACGCUGGCGGCGUGCCUAAUACAUGCAAGUCGAGCGAACAGACGAGGAGCUUGCUCCUCUGACGUUAGCGGCGGACGGGUGAGUAACACGUGGAUAACCUACCUAUAAGACUGGGAUAACUUCGGGAAACCGGAGCUAAUACCGGAUAAUAUAUUGAACCGCAUGGUUCAAUAGUGAAAGACGGUUUUGCUGUCACUUAUAGAUGGAUCCGCGCCGCAUUAGCUAGUUGGUAAGGUAACGGCUUACCAAGGCAACGAUGCGUAGCCGACCUGAGAGGGUGAUCGGCCACACUGGAACUGAGACACGGUCCAGACUCCUACGGGAGGCAGCAGUAGGGAAUCUUCCGCAAUGGGCGAAAGCCUGACGGAGCCACGCCGCGUGAGUGAUGAAGGUCUUCGGAUCGUAAAGCUCUGUUAUUAGGGAAGAACAAAUGUGUAAGUAACUAUGCACGUCUUGACGGUACCUAAUCAGAAAGCCACGGCUAACUACGUG
rnacentral:rRNA from 1 species